AUUGAACGCUGGCGGAAUGCUUUACACAUGCAAGUCGAACGGCAGCACGGACUUCGGUCUGGUGGCGAGUGGCGAACGGGUGAGUAAUGUAUCGGAACGUGCCCAGUCGUGGGGGAUAACGUAGUGAAAAUUACGCUAACACCGCAUACGACCUAUGGAUGAAAGCGGGGGAUCGCAAGACCUCGCGCGAUUGGAGCGGCCGAUAUCAGAUUAGGUAGUUGGUGGGGUAAAGGCCCACCAAGCCAACGAUCUGUAGCUGGUCUGAGAGGACGACCAGCCACACUGGAACUGAGACACGGUCCAGACUCCUACGGGAGGCAGCAGUGGGGAAUUUUGGACAAUGGGCGAAAGCCUGAUCCAGCCAUUCCGCGUGCAGGAUGAAGGCCCUCGGGUUGUAAACUGCUUUUGUACAGAACGAAAAGGUUUCUACUAAUACUAGGAGCUCAUGACGGUACUGUAAGAAUAAGCACCGGCUAACUACGUGCCAGCAGCCGCAGUAA
rnacentral:rRNA from 1 species